AGAGUUUGAUCAUGGCUCAGAACGAAAGCUGGCGGCGUGCCUAAGACAUGCAAGUCGUGCGAGAAAGGGGCUUCGGCCCUGAGUAAAGCGGCGCACGGGUGAGUAACGCGUGGGUAACCAACCUCGAAGUCGGGAAUAACCCGGGGAAACCUGGGCUAAUGCCGGAUGAGCCUACGAGAGCUUCGGAUCACGUGGGAAAAGAUGGCCUCUGCUUGCAUGCUAUCGCUUUGAGACGGGCCCGCGUCCCAUUAGCUCGUUGGUGAGGUAACGGCUCACCAAGGCUCCGAUGGGUAGCUGGUCUGAGAGGACGAUCAGCCACACUGGAACUGAGAUACGGUCCAGACUCCUACGGGAGGCAGCAGUCGGGAAUCUUGGGCAAUGGGCGAAAGCCUGACCCAGCGACGCCGCGUGAGUGAAGAAGGCCUUAGGGUUGUAAAACUCUUUCGCCGGUGAAGAUAAUGACGGUAACCGGAGAAGAAGCCCCGGCUAACUUCGUGCCAGCAGCCGCGGUAAUAC
rnacentral:rRNA from 1 species